ensembl:lncRNA
GGGCAUUUGAACUUUCACGUCAGGACAUAGUGAACUAGGCCUACCAUAUAGGCUAAGCCUAAACCUUUAGGGCUGAAGAAACAAAAAACAGGUAUUUUUCAUUGAAUAUGCUCAUUUUGGGUAGGGUCUUUAUGAUGAGAUGAUGCAACAUGUCCCAGCAUGUUCCCAUGCAAUGCUGUGCAACUGAGGAAAUGCCACACCAAGAGGAAGAGAGACUUCCAGGCAGAAAUGUCUGACAGCGGCCUCAACCAUGACCUGUGACCUGGAAAAACUUGCCCCUAACUGAGAGAGAUGGAGAACAUUUGUCAACGGACAAUGCUUCUUAUAGGCGCCAAGGUUAAGACAAGAAGCCAAGACAGAUCAUCUCAUAAAAGAUUCAUUUGUUUUUGUAACGGCUGUCGUGGGAAGAAGGUGAGGACCAAGGUGCAGCAUGGUAAGUGUUCUUGAUAUUUAAUUCAAAAUCUGAACAACAAACAAAGAAACAACCUAAACAGUUCUGUCUGGUGCAGACACACAAAGACUGAAAAUAACCACCCACAAAACACAAUUGAAAACAGGCUUCUCAAUCAGGGACAACGAUUGACAGCUGCCUCUGAUUGAGAACCAUACCAGGCCAAACACAGAAAUAUAAAAUCAUAGAAAAACGAACAUAGACAACCCACCCAACUCACGCCCUGACCAUACUAAAACAAAGACAAAACAAAGGAACUAAGGUCAGAACGUGACAGUUUUGUAUUUAAUUUGCUGCUUUUGCUUUUGAAGCAAUGUCUUUCAAAGCUGUUGUCAAGCACAUAACCUUAUAUUAUACAUCUAGCAUGUAGAAUUAUGGUAAUAAUUAUGGUAAUAGUUUCUCAGUUCUAAGUUAAGCCAGCAAUCUCUCCUCUAUUUCACAUCCCUGGAGUAUUUCACACUUCAUAUCCUUUACCAGCUGGCGGGGUUCUAAAAAUAGCCAUCUCUGAUCUUUUUAAAUGCUAUGUUGUGUUUUUCCUUUAAUUGAUAAGGCCCUUCAUAUAGAGUAGGCAUCCCCUAUAUUCAAACAAUCUCUGUCCCACUCACUCUUUUGAUUUGAAACACAGUGUUUGAGGAAACAAGCACUUGGCAUCCUCUUUCUCUGCCAUGUAUCAGAUAUAAAAAGAACCCAUCCUCCUGUGACAUGACACAUUCUCAGGCAGUCACACAUGAGGGAGUCCCUUGUGUUGUUGAGAAAAGGUUAGAGAGUGAGAGAAAUGUCAUCAUCACACUGACUGACUACAGCACCGAAGGCAUUAAUAACAGUUAACACAAAGUGUUAACAAGAAACCAGGCCUGGUGUCACAUGCUGACUACCAGUCCUCUCACCACCUCAUGUCUCUGCUGGUCUGUAGAAGUAUAGGCCUACAGCCAGUGAUGUCAUGCAUCAGACAUUUUUGAGGGGACUCUGAUGGCCAAGCUAUAUACAGUGUAUUUGCAUUAAUUGUUACCACCCUCAGUUACAAUAGGCAUGACACCUCUGCCUACAGCAUUGGUUCAGGUUGAGUUUUUUUUAGCACCAUUCUACAGUCACAUCCAAAAUUGUUGGCACAUUUUAUAAACAUUUGCAAAAAAGACUGUACACUGGUGCUCUUCCAUGCCGUCCCUAGGAGGGGUGCGUCACUUGAGUGGGUUGAGUCACAGACGUGAUCUUCCAGUCCGGUUUUGCGCCCCCCUCGGGCUUGUGCGGUGGAGGAGAUCUUCGUGGGCUGUACUCAGCCUUGUCUCAGGGUAGUAAGUUGGUGGUCUGUUGAUAUCCCUCUGGUGGUGUGGGGGCUAUGUUUUGACAAAGUGGGUGGGGUUAUAUCCUCCCUGGUUGACCCUGUCCGGGGGUAUCGCCUGACGGGGCCACAGUGUCCCCCGACCUCCCCCGUCUCAGUCUCCAGUAUGUAUACUGCUGUAGUCUAUGUGCCGGGAAGGCUAGAGUCAGUCUGUUAUUUCUGGUGUAAUUCUGUCUUAUCUGGUGUCCUGUGCGAAUUUAAGUGUGCUUCCUCGAAUUCUCUCUCUCUUUCUCUCCCUCCUGGAGGGCCUGAGCCCUAGGACCAUGCCCCAGGACUACCUGGCCUGAUGAUUCCUGGCUGUCCCCAGUCCACCUGGUCGUGCUGCUGCUCCAGUUUAAACUGUUCUGCCUGCGGUCUUGGAACCCUGACCUGUUCACCGGAUGUGCUACUUUGUCCCUCGUUUACAACCACUGUGAUUAUUAUUUGACCCUGCUGGUCAUCUAUGAACAUUUGAAAAUCUUAAAGAACAAUCUGUCCUUAAUGGCCAUGUACUCUUAUAAUCUCCACCCGGCACAGCCAGUAGAGGACUGGCCACCCCUCAGAGCUUGGUUCCUCUCUAGGUUUCUUUGUAAGGAGUUUUUAAUAGGCACUGCAAUCUGCAUUGCUUGCUGUUUUGGGUUUUAGGUUGGGUUUCUGUAAAACACUUUGUGAUAUAAGCUGAUGUAAAAGGGCUUUAUGAAUGCAUUUGAUUGAUUGAUAGUAUUUCAAAUUGAGCUAUAUUGUAUGCAAUUUUUUAAAAUUGUAUUAUUUUAUAAUAAUACAAUUGCUCAGUGAAAGAGAUUUUGUUUAACAAGUAAUAAAA